UACCUGCAGCCCGAGUGGUGGCCGUUCUUAUUGGGCCUAAAACGUCCGUAGCCGGUUGGGUAGAUGCCUGUGUAAAUCGAACGGCUUAACCGUUCGAACUGCGGGUAGACCGCCCGACUAGGGACCGGGAGAGUCACGAAGUACUCCGGGGGUAGAGGUGAAAUUCUGUAAUCCUCGGGGGACUACCGGUGGCGAAGGCGUCGUGAUAGAACGGCUCCGACGGUGAGGGACGAAGCCCUGGGGCGCAAACCGG
rnacentral:rRNA from 1 species